GACGAACGCUGGCGGCGUGCUUAACACAUGCAAGUCGAACGAAGUGGCGAACGGGUGAGUAACGCGUAAUCAACCUGCCCUUCAGAGGGGGACAACAGUUGGAAACGACUGCUAAUACCGCAUACGGAAGGAGGGGAUUGCGUCGGAUUAGCUAGUUGGGGGGGUAACGGCCCACCAAGGCGAUGAGCAGUAGCCGGUCUGAGAGGAUGAACGGCCACAUUGGGACUGAGACACGCCCCAGAAUUCUACGGGAGGCAGCAGUGGGGAAUCUUCCGCAAUGGACGAAAGUCUGACGGAGCAACGCCGCGUGAGUGAUGACGGCCUUCGGGUUGUAAAGCUCUGUUAGUCGGGAGGCUCUACCGGAUUAGAAAGCCACGGCUAAUUACGUGCCAGCAGCCGCGGUAAUU
rnacentral:rRNA from 1 species